rnacentral:rRNA from 1 species
CGUGUAGGCGGACUGGAAAGUCAGGUGUGAAAUCCCUGGGCUCAACCUAGGAACUGCACUUGAAACUGCCAGUCUGGAGUGCCGGAGAGGGAAGCGGAAUUCCUGGUGUAGAGGUGAAAUUCGUAGAUAUCAGGAGGAACACCGGUGGCGAAGGCGGCUUCCUGGACGGUUACUGACGCUGAGACGCGAAAGCGUGGGGAGCAAACAGGAUUAGAUACCCUGGUAGUCCC